ensembl:lncRNA
CAGUGGUCUUCGGGGGGCUUUGGAGUCUGACACUGGGAGUGGACCGGCCCAAGCCUAAGGCCACCAAAGUAGCUGCUGGGGGACCCUUCAGGAGUCCCAGGGCAAGGCCACUUGGAGUGGCCUUGAGAAACCAGUGCAUGUGGAGGAAAGGACCGGAGACAGGGAAGUGGGACACGAGAGGGUCGAAGUGCUGUGGUGUUGCCAGCAGAGCUGACGUGAGCUUCGGUCGUGUUACUAGGAGUACAGUGUGUCGCAUAACUAAGGUAACAUUGCACUUCUGUGCUGCGGGUGGAGUUGGAAUGCAGGGUAAGAGCGAGUUCUACCUUUUCAGAUUGUCACAGUCAAGUCAGAACUGGGCCCAAAGAGCAGAACAGGAGCAGUGAAGGCCAGGGCGCCAUCCUGUGUGCAUCAGCUGAAGGGCCUGGAUAUCUCUUUGCUGAGGGAGAGCAGAGAGGAGGAAGGUGAGGAUUGGACUUUGGGGUACUUGGACAUUUUCCUUGGAAGAGGAAGUAGAUUUUUCUGUGUGAUCCUGAAGGGAAAAAAAGACUCAGGCCUGGAAAUACAGUAAUAGAAAGCCAGGUUUAUGCUCAAACUGAAUAAUGCCUUUGACCAGUCAAAAAGAUAGCCAAGGAAGGAAAUGUUUAGGAAGAAGAAAGAAGAAACCUCAGUGACCCCUUGCUCUACUCUAUGUGAUCCCCACUCAGUUACUAAAAAUCAACUGUGUGUCAGACCCUGGUCUUGCACUGCCCAAAAGAGAGGACUCUGACACAGUCCUGUGAUUGAAGAGCUCAGUGUCUGGUGGAGGACAGAGACAUGUAAAAGGGGACAGCACAACCAGUUGGGUGAGCACUAUGGGCCAGGUGAGCUGUGAAGAUCCUGGGGACCCACUGCUGGUUCCUGGAUCUUUCAGGGGUCCCCCUGUGAGCCAUCAGAUCUCACAGGCUGAAUAGGCUUUGCCUUUUCCCAGAGUCUGAAGAAGACAGAGGCAGGGUUUCUGCAAAUCUAGGC